rnacentral:rRNA from 1 species
GACGAACGCCGGCGGCGUGCCUAAUACAUGCAAGUAGAACGCUGAAGAGAGGAGCUUGCUCUUCUUGGAUGAGUUGCGAACGGGUGAGUAACGCGUAGGUAACCUGCCUGGUAGCGGGGGAUAACUAUUGGAAACGAUAGCUAAUACCGCAUAAUAGCAGUUAUUGCAUGAUAACUGUUUGAAAGGUGCAAAUGCAUCACUACCAGAUGGACCUGCGUUGUAUUAGCUAGUUGGUGGGGUAACGGCUCACCAAGGCGACGAUACAUAGCCGACCUGAGAGGGUGAUCGGCCACACUGGGACUGAGACACGGCCCAGACUCCUACGGGAGGCAGCAGUAGGGAAUCUUCGGCAAUGGACGGAAGUCUGACCGAGCAACGCCGCGUGAGUGAAGAAGGUUUUCGGAUCGUAAAGCUCUGUUGUAAGAGAAGAACGAGUGUGAGAGUGGAAAGUUCACACUGUGACGGAU